rnacentral:lncRNA from 1 species
GUAAGUGUAUGAGGAAACUAAAACUGCCUACAAGCCUUUUUUGCUGUUCUGCAGGAAGCUAGACCAAGAAUGAAGUUAAUGCAUGGAUUAGGGAGAAACAAAGAGAAACUCAGCAAAACUGAUCCAGGACCCUGAUGACACGUGAAUGGAUCUGAUUCACGAUUUUGGUAUCUGACUGAUGCUGUCUUCGUGGAAUGAGUUAGGAAAGAGUCCCUCCUCGUCAACUGUUUGGAAUAUUUUCAGUAGGAUUGAUAUCAUUGUAUGUCUGGCAGAAUUUGACUAGGAAUCCAUCUGGUCCAGGAUGUUUUUUUGUUGGUAUAAUGAGAUUCGUUGAGGAAUUAUAAGAGUGGAAUGAGCAACAGAUUUUCAUUAGCGAAAGCUCCUCUAGCUGCUGCAUGAAAUGAUGGAUAGACAGAGCCAUUUUUAGAUCUUCCGUUGGAUUGGGAAUGUGAAAAUGGCACAGAAAGAGAAAGAACAUGCCAAGAAGUGGGGACACUCAGGCACUUGCAUCAGCUGCCUUGCAACAGUGAAUUAUAAAGAAAAUACUAUCAUAAAAGGGAUACAAUACAUGGUCCAUGACUGAAAAACCAUAUUGAAGUUCCUGUUCAUUGA